AUUCACUUUCCAGGAUGCCCAGCAUGGCUCGGUUGGUUAAGCAUCUGCCUUCGGCUCGGGACUCUACCAGAGCUUCGGGCCCCAUUUGCAUCCAGCUGCCCAUGGGUAUCAGUAGCUGUUGGACUUAGCAGAGUCACACAUCUCAGUUUGGACCAGUUCAUUUCUAGUGCUCAAGAGCACACGUGACUAACAUUAAACAGUACAUAUCUAGGACUCCAGAACGGGACGUGACUAGAGUUACUCUUACCUCAUCUGAAAUUUCUGAGCAUGACAGAGCACAGGGAAACAGGAGAGAGAAUUUCCUCAUCUAGGACAGGUGCUAAAGAAGAUGUUCCUGCCCAAGAAACACACACUUCUGUUAUGAAAUAACAGCAAAGAUGCUUUUUUAUUUCUCAGUAGUAUCACAUCAGUUUUACCCUGAGAACCACCAGUCAAUAACUCUCUACUUUGUUUUCAUUUUAUAUGCAGAAAGACUGAAAUUCCUAUGGCUUAUAGACUUCUAGCAAGCUAAAGAAGACAAUUACUGGUCCAAUAUCUUACCCAUUAGAAAUGUCUCCAAAAUGCCUGACAGAAUCCCAAUAUUUUAAAACCAUUUGCCUUAAAACUUCUUCACAGUAGUGUCCAUUUCUGACCCAUCUUUAUGUCUUCACUGUAGAAGGUGGAGAGUCUAACCACGGUCUUAUAGUACAGGAAACCAGUAGCUUUGUCAUACAAUCACAGAGCUAAGACAAUAUCGCAGAGAUAACAUGCUGAGGAAAUGGUGAGAAAAAGUUACUAUUGUAUUUGUAACUUCCAAGGUUAAAGAAGUUGCUCAAACCAUUCUUUCAGUAACCUAUUGAGUUUUGUCUUCAGUU